rnacentral:rRNA from 1 species
UACAGAGGCCUCAAGCGUUAAUCGGAAUCACUGGGCUUAAAGCGUGCGUAGGCGGACAUGCAAGCAUGUUGUGAAAUCCCAUGGCUCAACCAUGGAACUGCUUCGUGAACUGCAUGUCUUGAGACAAGUAGGGGCGGUCGGAACGAUAGGUGGAGCGGUGAAAUGCGUAGAUAUCUAUCGGAACGCCGAAGGAGAAGUCAGGCCGCUGGGCUUGUUCUGACGCUGAGGCACGAAAGCGUGGGGAGCAAACGGG